GUGCUAGCUUCGGCAGCACAUAGACUAAAAUUGGAGCGAUACAGAGAUGAGCAUGGCCCUGCGCAAGGACGACAGGCAAAUUCGUGAAGCGUUCCAUAUUUUU
rnacentral:snRNA from 1 species